rnacentral:piRNA from 2 species
UGGACCCAGUCAUGGACCUGUUAGUGC